rnacentral:RNase_P_RNA from 1 species
CGAGCAGGCCGGACGGUCGCGACGGCGAUGCCGUCGAGGAAAGUCCGGGCUCCGCAGGGCAGGGUAGCGGGUAGCUCCCGUCCGCCGUGAGGCGAGGACCAGCGCCACAGUGACGAACCGGCGUGAGCCGGGUGAAACGCGGCAAGCUCUACCCGGAGCAAGGCCAAGCAGGGGACCAUGGUGCGGCCCGCACCGUCCCCGGGUCGGCCGCUAGAGGCGGAGGGCGACCUCCGAUCCCGAGAGGGAUGACCGUCGCGGCCCCCGCAAGGGGGCCGGCACAGGACCCGGCUUACAGGCCUGCUCGGCCU